CCGCUGCGUGCACCAAGUGCUUUGAAAGUUUUUCGCGGAUUAAAACGAAUAAAAACCUCGUCGAAAGGCAAAGAAGGCAGGGUUGAAAAGUACUCAGCUCGACACCGGAGAAAAAAGAAACCCCCAUAGGAACUCCGGUUGUUCGGGUGUGUCCUAACAGCCUCACUCUGGACCUCUUGGACCUGGUGAGUCCGUGUCCCCAGUCCCUGCGGGGACAGCUCAGGAAGAGAGCGGGUUCCAGGACAGCCCAAGCAUCCGAAUCAAGUUAUCUACACCUUCGAGACUGAGCAAUAGAUGAACGAAUCGAGUCUAUUUGGGCAUUUUCCAGGGGAAAUGAAAGUGUAUGCCCAAAGAAGGACUUGUAUUUCAAUGUUCGUAGAAGUUUUAUGCACAAGAGUCCAAAACUGCAAAAAAAUCCGAAAGUUCAUCAACUGGGAUGGUGUGAAGUGUCUACAGGCAUCCGAGUGAACCCAAAGGGAGAGUUUGGCUGGCACACGGGGAGACGGGCCAAGGCGCGGCGGGCGAGGGCGGCACAAGCAUGGCGCUGCGACACCACUGCUGGGAGCAGGGCUGAAAGGUGUCUUUUGCUGUAAGGACUUUCAUAAGGCAGUCCCAAUCCAAAGACUGGCUUUAAUUUCACGGCCUUAGCCUCUCAGUUUCUUAAGCCUUCUGAGGACCUCCUGAUCAUGACAAUUAAGUCACUAUUUACAGCCAUGUGACAGAUAAAUCAGUAUUAGGUGAUUUGUUCUGAAGGACCCCCAAAAGGAAACAUAUGAGAGAACCCACACUCGGCACAGGAACGGCAAGAGUCCUCCUGUGAGAGCUGAGAGAUGACAUUGGCCCUGAGUCUGUCCACUGCUGAAGCUUGGCAGAGGCGGGGGAAGCGCUCAGAACAGUCGGCUGCCACUGCUUAGUGGAGGGGAGGGCGUUAACGCGUUUCCCCAUCAAAACCAAAACACAACAAAAAACCUCUCUGAUUUGGGAAUGUAAUCAUAUAAUUUCUACUUGGCAAAAAUGUUGGUUGGCUAUAGAACAAAAAGAACAAUCUGAAUCCAAGCUAUUGCCUCUUAAUCCUUUAAUUAGGCUGAGUCUUUCAGAAGAAAGCACCAUUCAUUGUUAUUGAAGGGAACCGAGAGCAAACGGAGAUAGUGACACACACACACACACACAGAUGCGCACAUGCACACACACGUGUGCACACUUACAUGAAUGCAUGUAUUUGUAAUGAUUAUAAUUAAACUCUCUUGCUGAAGGGAAAAAAA
rnacentral:lncRNA from 1 species